GAUUUAAAAAGAAAAAAAGAAAAACAUUUGUUUACUUCAAGAUAAUAAAAUGAAAUUGCCUCAUUUUCUCAAUAUAAAGUCAAAUAACAUUUUGUAAUUUACUUUAAUUUUCCUGUUGUACUUCUUGAUUACAUUUACACGCCGAAAAAAUACUUGAAAAAAAAAUGUACGGAUUUAAAUCAAUUGGAUUAUUUUUAAUGAUGAUUAUUAUGUUAAUGAUUUCUUCUGCUUUGGCAUUCUGUAAUCACAAUGGUCAUAUAUGCAAAAUGGAUGGAUCAAUUUAUGGUAAUUGUUGUUCUGGAUUUUGUUAUCAGCAAGUUGGAUGGCAAACUGGAUAUUGUAAAGGUGGUUAAAUAUUUAAAAAAAAAAAAAAAAACAAAUUCUCAUUUUUCCCAUAACAGUUUUGUAAUUUGUAUUUAAUAUUAUUAUGUAAUUUUAUAUUAAUAUAUAAUUAUAAUUAUAAUAAUUAUUAUUAUUAUUGUUAUUAUAUUGUAAAAUAUAGUAAAAAAGUAAUAAAUUUGAAAAAUUAACAA